GUUUGAUCCUGGCUCAGGACGAACGCUGGCGGCGUGCCUAAUACAUGCAAGUCGAACGAACUCUGGUAUUGAUUGGUGCUUGCAUCAUGAUUUACAUUUGAGUGAGUGGCGAACUGGUGAGUAACACGUGGGAAACCUGCCCAGAAGCGGGGGAUAACACCUGGAAACAGAUGCUAAUACCGCAUAACAACUUGGACCGCAUGGUCCGAGCUUGAAAGAUGGCUUCGGCUAUCACUUUUGGAUGGUCCCGCGGCGUAUUAGCUAGAUGGUGGGGUAACGGCUCACCAUGGCAAUGAUACGUAGCCGACCUGAGAGGGUAAUCGGCCACAUUGGGACUGAGACACGGCCCAAACUCCUACGGGAGGCAGCAGUAGGGAAUCUUCCACAAUGGACGAAAGUCUGAUGGAGCAACGCCGCGUGAGUGAAGAAGGGUUUCGGCUCGUAAAACUCUGUUGUUAAAGAAGAACAUAUCUGAGAGUAACUGUUCAGGUAUUGACGGUAUUUAACCAGAAAGCCACGGCCAACUACGUGCCAGCAGCCGCGGUAAUACGUAGGUGGCAAGCGUUGUCCGGAUUUAUUGGGCGUAAAGCGAGCGCAGGCGGUUUUUUAAGUCUGAUGUGAAAGCCUUCGGCUCAACCGAAGAAGUGCAUCGGAAACUGGGAAACUUGAGUGCAGAAGAGGACAGUGGAACUCCAUGUGUAGCGGUGAAAUGCGUAGAUAUAUGGAAGAACACCAGUGGCGAAGGCGGCUGUCUGGUCUGUAACUGACGCUGAGGCUCGAAAGUAUGGGUAGCAAACAGGAUUAGAUACCCUGGUAGUCCAUACCGUAAACGAUGAAUGCUAAGUGUUGGAGGGUUUCCGCCCUUCAGUGCUGCAGCUAACGCAUUAAGCAUUCCGCCUGGGGAGUACGGCCGCAAGGCUGAAACUCAAAGGAAUUGACGGGGGCCCGCACAAGCGGUGGAGCAUGUGGUUUAAUUCGAAGCUACGCGAAGAACCUUACCAGGUCUUGACAUACUAUGCAAAUCUAAGAGAUUAGACGUUCCCUUCGGGGACAUGGAUACAGGUGGUGCAUGGUUGUCGUCAGCUCGUGUCGUGAGAUGUUGGGUUAAGUCCCGCAACGAGCGCAACCCUUAUUAUCAGUUGCCAGCAUUAAGUUGGGCACUCUGGUGAGACUGCCGGUGACAAACCGGAGGAAGGUGGGGAUGACGUCAAAUCAUCAUGCCCCUUAUGACCUGGGCUACACACGUGCUACAAUGGAUGGUACAACGAGUUGCGAACUCGCGAGAGUAAGCUAAUCUCUUAAAGCCAUUCUCAGUUCGGAUUGUAGGCUGCAACUCGCCUACAUGAAGUCGGAAUCGCUAGUAAUCGCGGAUCAGCAUGCCGCGGUGAAUACGUUCCCGGGCCUUGUACACACCGCCCGUCACACCAUGAGAGUUUGUAACACCCAAAGUCGGUGGGGUAACCUUUUAGGAACCAGCCGCCUAAGGUGGGACAGAUGAUUAGGGUG
rnacentral:rRNA from 1 species